UCGCUAUAAUCCUGAUUACGCGCGUUACGAAGAAAGCACGUUUAUUAAUCGCAAGGUUUGCCAGCCGGUUUCUAAAAUAGACACAUAAAAGUACAUAAAUAAGUAAAUCGAAUUUCAUUCGUAAUUCGCGAGGAUUUCACGCGUUGGUUGAAAAUCGAUUAGAAAGCCCUGAGAGCCACUGUACCAUACGUAUCUUCGACUCUUCCUAAUCGUUCAAAGUUCGAACAGGCCGUUUUUAUACUACUUUCAACACAGCCGCGUAUACGAAACAGAGGGCGCAGUCGAUAGGUAGAAAUUUAUAAAAUACGCUUCUACCGGUUGAUAGAUAACGCGAACGAUGCCAUAACUCCUCUUCGAAGCUUUCUAAUUACGUUCCCUGCCGUAUGCUCAGCCGGAUGUUACUGCAGAAAGUAAACGACUUUUAACGAACUUGCAGCGUCGUUUAGAGAUCGUGCGAGUUCUCUUUGCGCGGCCUGAUUUCCGAGGAAGAAUUAGGUCGAUGAAAAUCGCGGUGAAAACCGUUCUAACGCUCCUACUUACUCAGAGAUUCGUUCUGUGACGGUCGAUGGAAUUUUAACGCCGCCACUCGUCCCCUUUCUCAACUUUUCUUCCUUUUCUAAUACAAAUUCUAAUACAAGUUAUCAUCGAUCCGAUACGAGUUAGCCAAUAACCGACGUUUUAUUUGACAUUUUAUAAUAUAUAAGGUACAAUAUGUCGAUCGCGAACGGAAAUACUAA